rnacentral:rRNA from 1 species
GGCAUGGCGGAGCUACACAUGCAGUCGAGCGGUAGCACGGGAGAGCUUGCUCUCUGGGUGACGAGCGGCGGACGGGUGAGUAAUGUCUGGGGAUCUGCCUGAUGGAGGGGGAUAACUACUGGAAACGGUAGCUAAUACCGCAUAACGUCGCAAGACCAAAGAGGGGGACCUUCGGGCCUCUUGCCAUCAGAUGAACCCAGAUGGGAUUAGCUAGUAGGUGGGGUAAUGGCUCACCUAGGCGACGAUCCCUAGCUGGUCUGAGAGGAUGACCAGCCACACUGGAACUGAGACACGGUCCAGACUCCUACGGGAGGCAGCAGUGGGGAAUAUUGCACAAUGGGCGCAAGCCUGAUGCAGCCAUGCCGCGUGUAUGAAGAAGGCCUUCGGGUUGUAAAGUACUUUCAGCGAGGAGGAAGGCAUUAAGGUUAAUAACCUUAGUGAUUGACGUUACUCGCAGAAGAAGCACCGGCUAACUCCGUGCCAGCAGCCGCGGUAAUACGGAGGGUGCAAGCGUUAAUCGGAAUUACUGGGCGUAAAGCGCACGCAGGCGGUUUGUUAAGUCGGAUGUGAAAUCCCCGGGCUCAACCUGGGAACUGCAUUCGAAACUGGCAAGCUUGAGUCUUGUAGAGGGGGGUAGAAUUCCAGGUGUAGCGGUGAAAUGCGUAGAGAUCUGGAGGAAUACCGGUGGCGAAGGCGGCCCCCUGGACAAAGACUGACGCUCAGGUGCGAAAGCGUGGGGAGCAAACAGGAUUAGAUACCCUGGUAGUCCACGCCGUAAACGAUGUCGACUUGGAGGUUGUGCCCUUGAGGCGUGGCUUCCGGAGCUAACGCGUUAAGUCGACCGCCUGGGGAGUACGGCCGCAAGGUUAAAACUCAAUGAAUUGACGGGGGCCCGCACAAGCGGUGGAGCAUGUGGUUUAAUUCGAUGCAACGCGAACAACCUUACCUACUCUUGACAUCCAGAGACUUUCCAGAGAUGGAUUGGUGCCUUCAGGUACUCUGAGACAGGUGCUUGCAUGGCUGUCGUCAGCUCGUGUUGGUGAAUUGUUUGGGCUAAGUCCAGC